rnacentral:rRNA from 1 species
GGACACAGGUGCUGCAUGGCUGUCGUCAGCUCGUGCCGUGAGGUGUUGGGUUAAGUCCCGCAACGAGCGCAACCCUCAUCCUUAGUUGCCAGCAUUUAAGGUGGGCACUCUAAGGAAACUGCCGCAGUUAAUGCGGAGGAAGGUGGGGAUGACGUCAAGUCCUCAUGGCCCUUAUGUCCGGGGCUACACACACGCUACAAUGGUCGGUACAAUGGGUUGCUAAGCCGCGAGGUGGAGCCAAUCCCCCAAAGCCGGCCUCAGUUCAGAUUGCAGGCUGCAACUCGCCUGCAUGAAGCUGGAGUUGCUAGUAAACGCGCGUCAGCUAUAGUGCGUUGAAUACGUUCUCGGGCCUU